rnacentral:rRNA from 1 species
ACCAUGGCCUCAGAUCAGACAUGGUGACCUGCUGAAUUUAAGCAUAUUACUAAGCAGAGGAAAAUAAACUAACCAGGAUUCUCUCAGUAACGGCCAGUGAAAAGGGAAGAGGGAAGAGCCCAGCGCCGCAUCCCCAUUCAGCAGCAGGCAUGGGAAAUGUGGUGUACAGAAGACCAACUCCCCGGCAUCACUCAGGGGGCUCAGGUCCUUCGAAUCGAGGCUCACCACGCAGAUGGAGUUAGUCCGGUAGCGGCCUCUUCCACACCGGGAUUAGGCCUUCUUGGAGUCAGGUUGCUUGGGAAUACAGCCCAGAGAGUGUUACAGCCCCCUGACAGCAGUUUUGCUGUGUCCACAGGGCUGAAGGAGAUAGACUGCCACUGUGCCCUUAUCCGGCAACAGUCCUGGCCCCUCUUGGGGGUUGCUAGAGUGGCGACAGGAGAAAGGGCUCCCGAUGUGACUGUGGUGGACUGCCGCGACUACGGUGUGCUGCCGGGUGGGGAGGCCCACAAAGGCCGCCCAGGGUCUGAGGUGAUGUUGGUUAACCACCCAACCUGUCUUGAAACACUGACCAAGGAGCAUAACACGUGCAUGAGUCAGAGGGCCGAAUGAAACCCUGUGAUGUAAUGAUGGUGAGGGCAGGUGCUCGCCGAUUGCAGUGGCAUCCUGUCACAGAGGGCCUUCCACCGACGCGUCUCACCCGCUCUGUCAGAGAGAUGAUGCAUGAGCGUGUGUGAUAGGACCCGAAAGAUGGUGAACUCAGCCUGGUGGAGGUCCGUAGUGGUCCUGAUGUGUAAAUCGGUCACCCAGCCUGGGUAUAGGGGCAAAAGACCAAUCGAACGAUUUAGUAGCUGGUUCUCUCCGAAGUUUCCCCUCAGGAUAGCUGGGGCACAGAAACCCCAGCUUUAUCUAGCAAAGCGAAUGAUUAGAUGUCUUGGGGUCAAAAUGAUCUCAACCUACUCUCAAACUUUAAAUGGGUAUGAAGCCUGGCUCGCUGGCGUGGAGCCGGGUCAAAAUUAUCUCAACCUACUCUCAAACUUUAAAUGGGUAUGAAGCCUAGCUCGCUGGCGUGGAGCCGGGUAUUGUAUGAAAGUGCUCAGUGGGCAACUUUUGGUAAGCAGAACUGGGGCUGCGGGAUGAACCGAACACCAGGUUAAGGCGCAUGAUGCAGACGCUCAUCAGACCCCAGAAACGGUGUUGGUUGAUAUAGACAGCAGGAUGGUGGCCAUGGAAGUCGGAAUCCGCUAAGCAAUGUGUAACAACUCACCUGCCGAAUCAACUAGCCCUGAAAAUAGAUGGCGCUGGAGUGUCAGGCCCAUUACCGGCUGGCGCUGAGAGCCGCGGGGGCUAAGUCAGGCGAGUAGGAGGGCUGCUGCGGUACACACAGAAACCUGGGUCGAGGUCCCGGGUGGAGCCGCCACAGGUGCAGAUCAUGGUGGUAGUGGCAAAUAUUCAAACAAAAACUUUGAAUGAUGAAGUGGAGAAGGGUUCCAUGUGAACAGAAGUUGAACAUGGGUCUGUCGGUCCUGAGACAUGGGCGAGCGCCGUUUCAAAGGGAUGGGCUAUGGCCUCAGUUGCCCUCAGCCGAUCGAAAGGGAGUCGGUUUCAGAUCCCCGAACCCAGAGUGGCGGGGACGGGCGUCCAGUGCAGUAACGCAAAUGAUCCCAGAGAAGCCGGUGGGAGCCGCAGGAAGAGUUCUUUUCUUUGUGAAGGGCAGGGCACCCUGGAAAGGGUUUUCCCUGAUAAGGGGGCCCGAGCCUUGGGAAGCAUCACGGUUCUGGCGGCAUCCGGCGAGCUCUCGCUAGUCCCUGAAAAUCUGGGUGAGAUGUUGUAAAUCUCGCCCCACGCCGUACCCAUAUCCGCAGCAGGUCUCCAAGGCGGACAACCUCUGGCAUGUCAGCACAAUGUAGGUAUGGGAAGUCGGCAAGUUCGAUCCGUAACUUCGGGAUAAGGAUUGGCUCUAAGGGCUGGGUCGGUCGGGCUGGGGCGCAAAGCAGGGCUGGGUGCGCACCAUGGCUGGAUGAAGCGUCGCCCCCCCAGGGGGACGGCAUUGCCUCUGGAUGCGAACCGGGCCCAUCCUGUGAAUCACCCCAGCUGCAGUGUUCGUCUCUCGUUUCCCCUCCUGGGGUUCAAGGCCGGCAUUCUGCCUUGGCUGACACCUAGCAGCUGACUUGGAACUGGUGCGGAACAGGGAAAUCUGACUGUUUUAAUUAAAACAAAACAUUGCGAAGGCCCAUGGAGGGUGUUGACGUAAUGUGAUUUCUGCCAAGUGCUCUGAAUGUCAAAAUGAAGAAAUUCAAUGAAGCUUGGGUAAAUGGCUGGGGCAACUAUGACUCUUAAGGUAGCCCCAUUAAAGUAGCCAAAUGCCUUGUCAUCUAAUUAGUGAUGUGCAUGAAUGGAUGAAUGAGAUUCCCACUGUCCCCAUCUACUAUCUAACGAAAACAGCCAAGGGAACAAGCUUGCAGAAUCGUCGGGGAAAGAAGACCCAGUUGAGUUUGACUCCAGUCUGGCACUGUCAAGAGACUUGAGAGGUAGUAUAAGUGGGAGGCCCUCGGGCCGCUGGUGAAAUACCACUUCUCUUAUCGUUUUUCCACUUACCCGGUGAGGCAGGGGGCGAAUCCCGUGGGGCUCUCGCUUCUGGCUCCAAUCACCCAGCACCUGCCAGGCACAACCUGCUAAGGGACAGUGGCAGGUGGGGAGUUUGACUGGGAUGGUAAACCUGUCAAAGGAUAACGCAGGUGUCCUAAGGCGAACUCAGGGAGGACAGAAACCUCCCGCGGAGCAGAAGGGCAAAAGCUAGCUUGAUCUCAAUUUUUCUGUAUGAAUACAGACCCUGAAAGCGGGGCUUCACGAUCCUGCAGACUUUUUGGGUUUCAAGCAGGAGGUGUCAGAAAAGUUACCACAGGGAUAUCUGGCUUGUGGCGGCCAAGCCUUCAUAGCGACGCCGCUUUUUGAUCCUUCGAUGUCGACUCUUCCUAUCAUUGUGGAACAGAAUUCACCAAGAGUUGGAUGGUUCACCCGCUAAUAGGGAACGUGAGGUGGAUUUAGACCGUUGACAGGUUAGUUUUACCCUACUGAUGAUGUGUUGUUGCAAUAGUAAUCCUGCUCAGUAGAGAGGAACCGCAGGUUCAGACGUUUGGUGUAUGUGCUUGGCUGAGGAGCCAAUGGGGCGAAGCUACCAUCCGUGGGAUUAUGACUCAAUGCCUCUAAAUAAGAAAUCUCCCCCCCCAGACUGUGAUACCGCAGCGCGGUCGAGCAUCGGUUGGCUUAGGAUAGCCGGCCUCGGGGCCGGUGUGUAGAGCCGCUCACCGCUCACCUCGGGACUUGAGUGUGGACAGAAGGGGGCCACCUCUCUCACCCAUAGUGCAGCGCAUUUUCG